rnacentral:rRNA from 1 species
AGCGAACGCUGGCGGCAGGGCUAACACAUGCAAGUCGAACGAAGUCUUCGGACUUAGUGGCGGACGGGUGAGUAACACGUGGGAACGUGCCGUUAGGUUCGGAAUAACUCAGGGAAACUUGUGCUAAUACCGAAUGUGCCCUUCGGGGGAAAGAUUUAUCGCCUUUAGAGCGGCCCGCGUCUGAUUAGCUAGUUGGUGAGGUAAAGGCUCACCAAGGAGACGAUCAGUAGCUGGUCUGAGAGGAUGAUCAGCCACAUUGGGACUGAGACACGGCCCAAACUCCUACGGGAGGCAGCAGUGGGGAAUCUUGCGCAAUGGGCGAAAGCCUGACGCAGCCAUGCCGCGUGAAUGAUGAAGGUCUUAGGAUUGUAAAAUUCUUUCACCGGGGACGAUAAUGACGGUACCCGGAGAAGAAGCCCCGGCUAACUUCGUGCCAGCAGCCGCCGUAAGAC